rnacentral:ncRNA from 18 species
AUGAAGAAUGCGGGAGAGACCCUAACCGGGCGCCGAAGGAGCAAGCGGGUAUAUGGCCUGUAUACUCGUGAAACUCUCAGGCAAAAGGACCGCAUUC